UACGUAGGCAGCAAGCGUUGUUCGGAAUUACUGGGCGUAAGGAGUGUGUAGGCGGUUCUCUAAGUUUGGUGUGAAAUCUCCCGGCUCAACUGGGAGGGUGCGCCGAAAACUGGAAUGCUUGAACAUGGGAGAGGAAAGCGGAAUUCCUGGUGUAGCGGUGAAAUGCGUAGAUAUCAGGAGGAACACCUGCGGUGUAGACGGCUUUCUGGACCAUUGUUGACGCUGAGACACGAAAGCGUGGGUAGCAAACAGG
rnacentral:rRNA from 1 species